rnacentral:lncRNA from 1 species
UAAACACUCAAAUAGCCUUUCGAAACAUGCUUAAAAUCAUUUUAAUAUUUCCAUGAUUGAAAACAAAGUCUCUUACCAUUCCUAAGUGUGCCCCAUGGACAGUUUUGUCUUGAGGUAAAAUUAUGAUCUUCAGUUGCAAUGUCUUUAGGCUCUAGGUGGGGGAAUUGGAUGUUCAAAAGAUGAAUUAGACACACUAGUCAGAAUAUAUUUUGGGAUGAAAUUGCCAACAUUAGAAACUCAAGUCACAAAAUAUUCUGGUGCAGGGAGUGGCCAACCCAUAAAUAUUAAAGAUAUGGAAUCUUAGACUCUUAGUACAUUGUAAUUCCAAGUAAGUGGAAUGUGGUUCAAUCAAGAAAUAAAUAAAAUAUAACAAAAAUAUUAAAAAUCUAUCAAGUAGUGCAACAUAAAUUAAAUAGCUAUUUCUUAAAUUUGAAACAAUUGGACACAUGGCAUACUUCUCAUGGGAUUUGGCAUAGAAUGGCAGCAAAAGAUGCACUUUAGAUUGUGCUUGGUUCAUGAGGUGGAUGCUUGGUGAGACCUUGAGCCAUAACUGUAUUAGAAUUGCCUUCCGUUGAUGUGAGGCUUGGGUUUAUGCCAACAUAAUUUUUUUUUUCCAAACCCCGCCUCAGACCACACUUUUGAAAAUAUGAUCCUCUAUUGAAUUGUUGGAUUUCAUAAAUUUGAUUUUGGAUAUCCUACUUUGCUGCCUAUGACUUAUCUGGUUUUUUUUUUUGUUUCAGUGCUGCAGAUUGGAAAUACGCGGCAGAGCAAUUUGUGAAGAAGCUUCCUGAUAAAGUCAUCGUCCAUCGUGAGUGCUUCUUUUCACAUGUUGAGCCCCUUUUCCCGCACCUGCUGAUUCUUUAUAAUCUUGCGUGAUUCUAGUUAAGAAUUAGCUUUUUCAUUUUUCUUUUCCAAAAUCAACUGCAAUAUAAUUUGAUACAUGAACUUUUUGUUUGCAUUGAUGAUUCGUAUUUAGCAGAGGAGAUGCUCAAGCAAAAAGUUGUCCAUAUAUCUAGCUUUCUUUUUCAUUUAAAUGCAUAUCAGUAUGGUUUCAUUGUUCACUUGACUGCUGCCAGAGUAAAUAAAAGUAGUAAACUCAUGGCGCCACUUUGUCUUGUUUGAUAAAUCCUUGGUGUUAUUCAUCUAUGUCCUUAGUUGAUUUCAUUGAUUGGUUGGGGUUGGAUUGAGGGAGGGAGUAUUUUUGUUUUCCCUUUUCUUUUUGGCAGCCGUUUGUAUACUCUGUGUGUACGUUGGUGCGCCCCUUUUGGCGUUUUAAUAUAAUUUGCAUUUACCUAUCAAUUUUUUUUUUCUUUAUAUAAAACUAAUCUGUUGCGUUGUAUUUUAGGAAUUGUGUUGAGUGCAUCUGGACCAUUAUGCAUUUGAAAGUUGGAAAUAUCAUGCAAAGCUUAAAUAAAGUGAUUUGUUUUUUAUGGGAUAAAACAUUUGAAUGAAGGCAAAAAUAUUUGAUUCAUAACUUACUGAAAGGGCUUAGGAUAAGUGCAACAUUUAAAAGGAGUAAGAGAGCAUAACUAACUCUAAAUGCAGCAAAAAGAUUCUAAAAAUUCAGCAGUGGAAGAAGAGUAGGUUGUUUUCCGCUUGCAUAUGGAAACUCUUAAAUUGCUUUAGGAGAGGAGAACAAAGUUCAAAGUUGUGAUACCUUUUAGACUAAAGGUCAUGUGACUCUUUAGUUAUUUCUCAAGAUGUAUUGACUAGAGGUGACAAUAUAUUUCAGAACCCAUAAUUUGGCUGGGAAAUGUAGUCCAAUCAUCCAGCCAUACAUUAAGCUAAGCCAUUGUGAUAAUUCGAUUUAAAUAUUAGUAAAAUGAGUUGAGAAAAUAGAUUUUUGGUUGAGCUAAGAUUCUUGCAGUGGACACUGAAGAGUGGUUGGAAAUAUAGAAUUUGAAUUGUAGAAUGCUUUUGAGGAGGUGAAGCAAAUUCUUGAUAUUUUUUUUUUGAUAAAUGAACACAAAUAUAUUAAAGGGCAGAAAGCUACAAAGCAUACAGGUAGUAUACACAACAACUUAAAAACAAAAAACACAUGAACAAAAAUCUCACUACCCUUUAAGGAAUGGCAAGCCAUUCCAAAAAACCUAAAAGCGAAGAAGACUCCUCUCCCAUAUACACCCUAGCCCAGCUCCACAAAUUACAUACAAAAGAAUUUUUCAACUUCUGUAUAGCUAAAGAGCCCCCCCUAAAGGCUAAUCUAUUUCUUUCCUUCCAUACCGUCCAAAAAAUACACAACAGGAUGGAAUUCCAAAUCUUUUUCCUCUUUUUCCCCACAAAGGGGCCCCUCCAACUAAGUAACACCUCUUUGACUGUCUUUGGGAACACCCAAUGAGCCCCAAACAAGGCAAGGCGAUCUCCCAGAGGACCCUGACCACUAUACAGUGUAAAAGAAUAUGAUUUACAUUUUCCUCUUCACAACCACACAAAAAGCAACGAUUAGGAAGGUGCCAGCCCCGUCUUUGGAGCCUAUCCAAAGUUAGGAUCUUCUCCCACGUGGCCUCCCAAGCAAAAAAAGCAACUUUGGUUGGAACCUUAUCUACCCAAAUGCUCUUUUUCAGGAAGGUGAUGACACUAGGGGCUGCCAGCAGCUUAUAAGCAUCCCUAAUCUGAAAAGAACCAUGACUCCCUCCUUUCCAAAUCACUAAGUCCUCUUCUGAAGAAAUCCUCAAGUCUCUCAGCAUAUGAAACAACUCUCUUAUAGCAUCCAGCUCCCAAUCAUUAGAAUCUCUGGAGAAUCUAAUAUUCCAACCUCCUUGACCAAGGCUAGAAUCCCACAUUUCAUUGACCGUAGUGUUCCUUUGGAUCGCCAAGGCAAAUAGCUGGGGAAAAGUUUGGGACAGCGCCUCAUUACCACACCACUGAUCAGUCCAUAAAUUGACCUUGGUCCCCUCUCCCACCUUGAACCCUAUGUUAUCCCAACACCAAUUCGCCUCCUUCAAAAUCUCCUUCCAAACCCCCACUCCAAAUGUUCUGCGAGUCUCAUUAGUUUGCCAACCAAAACCCUCAUGGCCAUACUUCACCCCGAUCACCUUCUUCCAAAGGAUUUCUUUUUUAAGGGCAAAUCUCCAAAUCCAUUUGCCCAACAAGGCCUUGUUCAAGAGAUCAAUCUUCCGAAUGCCUAGACCCCCUUUCUCCUUUUGAGUGCACACCACUUCCCAAUUGAUUAAAUGGAUUUUCCUUUCCAAGCUUCCCCCUCCCUAAAGAAAGUCCCUUUGUAAUUUUUCGAGCCUUUUUGCUACUAGCUUGGGCAUUCGAAAGAGAGACAAUUGGUAAAUAGGUAUGCUGGACAAAGUACUUUUAAUGAGGGUAAUUCUCCUGCCCUUUGACAAAUAUUGUCUUUUCCAAAGGGUUAACCUUCUUCUCAUUCUUUCUUCCACCCCAUCCCACAUAAACGAGGCCUUGUGAUUGGCUCCAAGGGGCAGCCCCAAAUAAACAGUAGGAAGAGACCCCACUCUACACCCUAACCCACUGCCAAUUCGUCAAUGUCUUCAACCUCCCUAACCGGAAUUACUUCGCUUUUAGCUAGGUUUAUCUUAAGACCAUAGGCUGCCUCAAACCACGCCAAAAUCCAGCUUAGAGAGGUUAGGUGAUCUUUCCUUUCUUCGCAGAAAAUAAUUGUGUCAUCAGCAAAGAGCAAAUGAGACACAUUCACCUCCAUUUCCCCCCCCCCCUCGAAGACUACAGCCUGAAAUGAAACCCCUAUCAACAGCCCUUCUUAAAAGUACACUUAGUACUUCCAUACCCAACACAAAAAGGUAAGAAGAGAGGGGAUCUCCUUGACGCAACCCCCUGGAAUUGGAGAAGUAACCUGUUGGCACCCCAUUAACCAUAACAGAAAAUUUUGCAGUUGAAAUGCACCAUCAAAUCCACUCCAUCCAACGAGAUCCAAAACCCAUCUUGUGCAAGACCUUCAUGAGGAAAUUCCAAUUAAUGCUAUCAUAGGCUUUUUCAAUAUCCAGUUUACAAAUCAACCCUUUCUCUUUACGUUUAUGCCAGAAAUCAAUCACCUCAUUAGCUAUGAGCGAGGCAUCCAAAAUAUGUCUUCUCCUCACAAAAGCAUUUUGGUCCACAGAGACCACCUUAUCUAAAACCUUCUUCAACCUAUUGGCCAGCACUUUGGCCAAAAGCUUAUACAAUCCCUCUAGAAAGCUGAUGGGCCUGAAGUCCCCAAGGUCCUCAACCCCACCUUUCUUUGGAAUGAGAACUAGGAAGGUAGUAUUGAGACUCUUAGCAAAAGAUUUCUUAUCAAAAAACUCUUUAAACAGGUCCACAAUCUCCUCCUUCACGAAGUCCCAGCAAGAUUGCCAAAAGGCCACUGUGAACCCAUCCGAGCCUGGAGCCUUAUCUCCAUUCAUUUUCAUCAGAGCAGAAUGGAUUUCUUCCUCAAUGAAGGGCUGCUCCAAGACUUCAGCUUCAUUAUGGUUUAGACUUUGAAGGUGCAGCCCCUCAAUAUCAGCUUUCCAGCCUGGCUCCUUUGAAAGCAACUGCUGAAAAGCAUUCACAAUCCCCUCUCUCACCUCCUGCUCCUCCUCCAACCACCCCCCAUUGAUCUUAAUUUUAUCCAAGGGGUUGUUUCUUCGAUGGGCAUUGACCAUCCGGUGAAAGAAACCUGUGUUCUUGUCCUCUUCUUUAAGCCACAACUCCCUUGACACUUGUCUCCAGUGAGUUUCUUCCAAAAACACCCACUUUUUAAAGGUUGCUUUAGCUUCUCUUUUCAGCUUCGUCUCACCUUCUGUCAGACUCCUUUCACUCUCCACCCCAUCCCAGAAUUCAAUUUGUUGAAGGGCUGAGUUUUUAUUAACUUCCAACAUUCCAAACACAUCCCUGUUCCAUCCUUUGAUUUUUUCCUUCAUGACCUUCAUCUUAGUAGCCAAUCUAAAACUGGCCCUCCCUCUCCCCCCAACCCCUGCCACCAAUCCCGAAGAAGAUCCUUAAACCCAUCAACUUUGAGCCACAUGUUUUCAAACCUAAACGGGGAAGGGCCCCGUCUUAACCCACCACUCUUCAGCAAGAUGGGAAAGUGAUCAGAAGUGGGUCUGGGUAACCUACUUUGGACAACCCCACUAAAGUGAUCAAGCCAGUUCUGGGUCACUAGGAAUCGAUCCAGUCUAGCCCAAGAUUGAUUGUUCCUAUCCCCGCUCCAUGAAAACACCCCCCCUUGCAUAGGAAGAUCCAAGAGCUCUAGCUCGUCAACAACCUGAGCAAAUCUUCUCAUUGCGCCAGUCAGCCUUCCCUGAUUGCUCCUUUCCUUUUGGGAGAGGGUAACAUUGAAGUCGCCCCCUAAACACCAGGGGUCAUCCCAGAUGCCCCUUAUAGCCCCGAGCUCUUCCCACAUAAUCUCCCUAUCUUCUUUAGAAAACGGCUCGUACACUCUUGUGAAGAUCCAAGCAUUCCCAUUUUCUACAUUCCUAAGCUUACAAGAAAUUGAGAACUGCCCCAUCUCCAUCUCAAGAACCUCCAAGGUUCUUUUAUCCCAACAUAUCAAAAUCCCUCCCGCAGCUCCCUGAGCACCCAUGGCACCCCAAUCAAGAAACCUCCCAGAGCCCAAACUCCUCACCAAACCCUCUGACAUUGACUGAAUUUUCAUUUCCUGGAUACAAAACAAGUCCACUUUCUGGCUUCUGAUCAUGGCCUUAAUCACCUUUCUUUUAGAGCUAUCGUUAGCUCCACGCGCAUUCCAGCUCAAUAGCCUUAUCUUCAUUGGACUUCCAUAAUCUGACACCCUCUUCCUUGCACAGCACACUUCUUCUUCUUCCCCCCUCAUGAUUGAUGGAACAUUCAAGCCUUUUCAAUUCCCUUUCGAAUCUCGAUUUCUCUAGAAGAGUUUUGCUAUGAACUCUUUCCCUCCUCUUUCUAAUUUUGACCAGAAACUCCAAAAUAUCUUUCUCCAAUCCCUCUGUUGAAAAUCCCAAAAACUUGCUGAACCUAGCCAGAUCACUUUCCUCCCAGCUUGCUUCCUCCCAUCCUCUACCUUCUUGUGGCAUAGACCAAGCAAGGCACAAUUCCUCUCUGCUCUCUUCAAUACUGUCAGUAUUGACCUCUAUCAACUCUCAGCACUUAACUGUUUCCUGCUCUGUAGACCCAGUGACGUUACACAAUCGAGGUGUAACCCCUGGGUUAAGUCCAAGCCAGCCCCAGAAAGGUCGCCAAUGGAGUCCGACCAUAAAUAGGAGAUGGAGAAAAAGGAGAAUCAGAGACCAUUAGUCCAAUAGAGAUAGGGACGUUUUCAUACCUUGCAUCUUCCUCCAACAAGGCACAGUCGGUCUUAGAUUUCCCGUCGGUCUUAGAUUUCCCCUCGGACUGAAUCUCCUCCUCAGAAAGCCUCCGCAGGCCAUCCUUCACCCAGAAGGGAGAAAUACCAGCGUUUGGACCUCCCAUUAGGCUUUGGCCACUUACCAAAGAGGGACAGGCCUCCCCCACUUGGGCUCUAACCACAGCUAAGGGCAUAGACAGGCCUCGAUUGUCCAGCCCAGACAUCAUAGGAUGCACCAGAGUCUUGGCCCGCUUAGAAAUCUUCCAAGACGACAACCCAAAAAGAGGCGGCCCAUUUUCGCAAGGGGGGUCCGAGAAGGAAACAAGCCCAAUGGGCUCUGAUUCCUUAGAGUACCAAGAGGGCUCUACUAGGCCUAGCAAGCUAAGCCUGCCUGAUCCUUGUGACCCACCCGACGACCCAUCGAAGCUCCAAAUAUGGUCCGUAACUUGCCCCGACCCGCUUGACUAACCCCGCAUCCCAUCAGCAUGCAACAGCAGGGCCUCGAGCCUUGAAACCGUCCUUCGCCUCCAGCAUGCGCUCGCCCGCGCGUGUACAAGCUUCACCCCCAACCUCCUCUCCCGUUGCGACAAACUUCCCUCUCUUUCCCGCCGUCGCCGCUAUCAUUACUGGCCUGACCUCCCACCAGAGAGUUAGCGAGUAGCACAACUCUUCAACCCAAACCUCCACCACAUUGGGGAGUUUCUCGCCGUUACGCUUCACCAAUAACCGGGCCCACUGUAAUUCCUCCAUCUUUUCCGUUUGAGAGUCGAUUGCGAGAAAACCCCCGCACUGCUCCCCUAUCCUUCUCAGAAUGUCCCACUCCCAUAAGGAGACGGGUAAGCCUACAACCCGCACCCAGGCUUCACUCUUGUUCUCCCCCUUCCUCAGACAUCCCGUCUCAGGCCUCCAUUUCUCCAAGCGAAGAAAGAUCUCCCCAACCGAGAUGCUUCCAAGUUUAAUGGCUUGCUCUGCUUCUAUCAAGAGCUCAAAUUCCAUCAAUACCUUGCCCUUUUCCAGUUUUGCUAACCCUAGGUUGCCCUUCAAACUCCAGAUUUUCGCCAACUGAGUCCCCCACCUUCGUAGGUCGUCCCCCUUUGCUGCGCUAGGGUUCCAUAUCCCAACCACAUAGUGAGCCAGUUUGUUUAAGUUUCGGCAUAGCUCCUUCUUUGUGACCUCCACUUUGAUUGUUGCUCUAUCUUUACUCCUCGACAUUUUGACCACUUCCGCGAAGGUUUUCACCAUACUUGGCUUCAAACGUGACUCUUCUUCUUUUUGGCUUAUCAUUCCUCCAUUAGCACAGACCAAGUGCUGUAACGUCUCCACCAUUGAAACCCAACCACCCUUUGCUCCUCUCCUUUUAGGGAUGAAUAUGCUAAAUCUUUUGUUCUCCAAAUCCACAACAUCUAACCGGAGGAAGCACCCCCCUUUGUUAUGAUCGCGCACCAGAGAAUAAGCCCUCCCAUUUUCCUGCCACUUUCUUACCCAUUUUGCCGUUCUCACAUCCUCAAUGCACAGAACCAGACAAUCGAGGAAUAGCCCAAGACUCGCCGGUCCCAGCCUAAUCCAUGAGGAAAUCCCUCUUUUCCUCUCCACGAUCGUAGCUUGCAGCCUGCCUCUCUUCUUCUCCACCUCAACCUUAAAUGACUUCGACUCCACUCUGAAGCCACCCUUCCUGAAGCUUUUCCUAGGCCUCGCAAGGACCUCGCCCUCUACAUUCUCGGUCGCUCUCGGGAAGUCUCGCACUCCUCCGUCGCUCUCGCUCUCUCUCACGCUCUCUCUCUCUAACCCUCUCUCUCUCUCCUCCAUUUCUUCUCUCUCUCACGCAAGGCCUCAAAGGCAAUUUUAAUUGCUAGAAUUGAAGGAUGGUUCUUUUCCUCAAGAAAUCCAACAGUAGUGGUGGAAUAUGCAAAUGUUCUCAUUGUAGUGAAUCAGUGGACUUCAAAUUGAAGAGAUUGUGGUUGGGGCUUGUGUACAAGUUGGAUGUAAAAAGGUUCAGGAUCUCGUGGAUCAGGAUUUGUGAUUUUUGUUAAUGAAUAGGGACUUUGGUCAAAAAUGGAUUCCUUUGUGAUCAAAUUCUGCAUUUCGUCUGCUAGAGUUUCAAUGUUAAUGCAUGACACUCCAAGCUUUUUCUAAAGUUCUAGAGGUCUCAAACAAGAGGAUUUACUAUUUGCUUAUUUUUUUAUCUUGGUUAUGAAGAUAUAGGUUUGCUUCAUCUCAAAAGCAAUGGAGGGGGUUUUUGUUCAAGGGUUUAGGGUUAGGGAAGAGGUGGGUUAGGUAUUAGACAUCCUUUCUCUUCUAUCAAUGAAAGAAAAAAAUCUUAACAACCUCAACCUUCUACUCAAGUCUUUUGGGUUAGUCUCUAGCCUUAAGGUUAACCUUGAUAAGUGUGUAAUACUGGGGAUAGAUGUUAAGUAGGAGUACUAUGAAAGAUUAGCAUUCUCUGUUGGUUAGGAAGCUAGGACGUGGCCUUUGAUACCUUGGUCUUCCUUUGGAUACAACUCAAGUGUGUCGGGAUUCUAAGGCACCAUGGUUGGAAAAGCGUCCAAUUGACUUGAUGAGUUGGUAUGGAAGUAGCAUAUGUUGCUUGAGGGUAGAAUAGCCUGAUUUAAUCUUCCUUGGUCAAUAUCACUAUUUGUUCUCCAUCCAUUUUUAGACAUUGCUUCUUGGAUUAGGAAAAUUUAAAGGGAUUUUCCAUGUUUGAGGUAUAGAGAGGACAAUCAGUAUACCUAAUAAGGUGAAAGGGUUUGUGGCACCAAGAUUAGGGGAAAGGUCGUGAUGUGAGGGUUUAAGGAUUAAAGCUCUAAUGGGCAAUUACUUGUAGAGACCUCUCAAGAAGAAAGCCUCAUGGUUUGCAUUUUCUUAUUAGAAGCAACUAAAAGUUGUAGAAUAAUGGAUAGGAAUUUUUGGUGAGAGCCUCUUACCAUUGCCCAUAGAAAUAUUUCUUGAGUUAAUGAUGAUUCAUUCUACAUAUAAGAUUCAUUGUUAGAAGUGAAUAUGAUCUGCGAUUUUGAAGACUGGCACUUGACUAAUUAACAUUUUCUAUUUUCCUUUCAUCGCCUUUAUUUUGUUUGUUAGAGUGGCAAAGGGUAUGCCCAUUAUCAAUCUUGUUUUAAUAUCUUAUGACUCUUUUUGGUGGAAUUUCAACUUAAAUAGAAGUUGGAUUAUAGUUUAUUUUAUUUUGUUAAGAGUUAUUUUAUAUGAUAGUUAAUAGGGCAUUAUCGUAAUCUUGGUUAAUAAUAUAGAUAGAUGAGAAAUUAUUUAUCAUUGACUAUGAUUGCGAUAAUACUACUAAUAACUAAUAAAUAAAAUAAUUCUCAGCAUAACAUAAAAAAAUAAAAUAAACUCUUAACAAAUACUAGUUAUAUGGUUUAGAUAAAGAGGCCCCAUAGAACCACCUAUUAGUAAGGCCCUGUUUGGAUUGCCUAUUGAGAAGUUAAAAACUAUUUUGUUAGCUCAAUCAGUGUUGCUUCUCAUAGAACCCUUUUUUGGGGCUUAUGCGAGAUGUAGUUUCAUGUUUAAUAAUCCCUUUGAAAUUAUGGUUUUAGCUUUAGCUUCUACGAAAGCCAAAAAUAAAAUGUUAUUACCACUUUUUUUUUUUUUUUUUUUCAUUUUCUUAUUUUCAUGAGUUUUAGGACUUACAUUCUUCUUGAUCGAUAUUGUAUUGGUGGCUCCUAAAAAUAUUUCAUAGGUGUUGCUUAUCUUCUUUAGGGUUUUGACAAGAGAGCAAGGAGUAAAAUGCUGUAGCAGUAUGCUGUGCUUGUGACUUCUUAAGCAAUAUGGCUGGAAAGGAAUAUUCUGACUUUCUAUGAUGUUAUAGGACAAAAUUUGUCUAUAUAUAUAUAUAUAUAUCUCUUAUGAUUAAAGAGUUCAUUGACAUCUCUCAGGAUUAUCUCCUAGUGUACUGGGGGUUGCACCCCUCUUUUUGUGAGUAGAGCUUGUCAAUAUACACUCUCUCUUUGUCUAUCAAUAAAGAAAAGGUAUUAUCUUAAUGGGUUGCAGGCUUGUUGUUCAGCCAAAUCUGAGGAGAGCAUAUGGAGUGUUACUGGUCCCUCCUCUAGAUGGUUACCUUAAGCCCAAUUUUUGCAAAUACUUGUUGGGAAUCUGAGUGAAAUAGGUGUUGGGUGUAUUUUGAGAGAUCUGAUCUGAUUUGGCCUUUCUUGAAGCUGACAAGCAUUGUGAUUGCCAAUGGACUUGAAUUAUUUGCUUUGGUGGGGGUGUAAAAAUAUCUUCUUUAGUUAGGGGUGAGGUUGGAUAAUCAGGAGAUCUUUCUUGUGGAAGUCCAUUAUUAGUAUAGGUAAGCAAACAUAUGAGUUUGAUAUUAGUGUUGUUCAAGUGGCGACCUUGUAUUGUUUAUAGUAGGUUUCUCUCUUCAAUCAUAACUGCUGCCUUGAUAGCAAAGGUUGAAGAGCUAAGCAAGACUGCUUCUCUUCUUCCAUGUCUGUACUCCUGCUCUGCCUUGGUUGCUUAAUACAAGCACUCUUAAUCAUUGCUUUUGUCUCAGUGAUGGUGAUUAAUUGAUCAGCAUAUGAAGCCAAAAUGUGGCCAAAACAGUAAAAUGUUGAUUUCUUCUUCCCCAAGGAAUUUGGACUUGUAUUACCCUGAAUAGCUUGUUGAUGGAAAAGCUAGAACCAUUCCAAUAGUUUUUAACUACCUUUUUCCACUUGGUCAACAAAAGUCCUACUAGGUUAUUUCCCUUUCACCAGUAUUGGAUUUUCUUUCCAAAUUUUCAUUGAUCUGAUAUGCACUUUGUAUUGCAUCUCUUUGGUAUUCAACCUAUAAGUUGUUAGUCUUGAAGCUAUCUGCUGUCUCAAACCCUGCCAAUUGAUAGCAAAUCAUAAAAUGUUUAUUCCAUGCAGAAUCUGACCGAGUAGUCAAGCCCUAGAAUAUUUUUUUUUUCAUCAGAAACGAACAAUGUAUUAAAAGAGAAAAAUAUGAGAAGGAUGAGAAGUCCUCCCCAUGAUGUACAAACCUGAUCAAAAGAAGUGAGUAUAGUCAAACCCUAGAAUUGACUACCAUGUUGUUUCACAGGCAUGCUUCCUGCCAUUGAUCAAAUGAAGAUAGAUUGGAUGCUCGUAGUUAAGAAGCAUGAAGUUUCUAGUCAUUCUGCCAUCCCAAAAUCCAUUCCCUUCUUAGAACUGUGGUUCAUUAAUCCAUAAUAUCCUAGCUCAAGCUGCCAUCUUAAGCUUAGCCUCUACAGAGCACUAGUUCUGAGCUGCAUCCAUCUCAUGCCAAUAAGAGCAAUUCUCUAAACCAUAUAUCCAGUCUUUAAAAGCGUUGAAAUGGUGAUCUACAUGAAAAUCUGGCACAUCUGAUUGUAGUCCCUUGCAAAAAUUUACUUGCCUUGUUUCUCAAAAAUUUCAAUUAAAUAAUUGGGAUUUCAGGGCGAUAAGGCAGAAAUUCUUCAUUUGGGGUAGUAUUUUAAUGCACUGGACCAAUAUCCUGCUCAAGCAAAUGUGAAUGUGGAUGAGUUUGUUGGCUCCAUGUGAAACUGAGAAAAGACUUUUGGUUAUUGUUGUUAAAUUUCAAUGUGAUCUUCUUCUUGUUGUUGUUAAUUCUUCGAAUCAACAAGAUGUUAGGUGCUUGUGGCUUUUAUAUAUUCUCUAAGAAAAAAUGGGGUUCUAAGGAAGCCGGUGUCUUUUCUUCUGAAUUAAGCUAGUUCCUACAUUCAUGAUGUUUCAGGUGAAAUCAGAGGCAGGACCUUGGAUCUAGGCCAUGGUGGAAGAAGACAUCAAGGCCAAGGAACAAAUAUGGUUGAGAUGAAGUAUAUGAUUGAAGAUUUAUCUUUGGUUGUGAGAAUGCUUAAGUGAUAGGAACUAGCUGAUGAUAUGGAGUGAUGAAGAUAGUUCCAUGGAUUAAGGUUCUUAAUGAAUCUAUGAUGAACCCUGAGCAUGGUAAUGUGUUUGAGUUAUAUUCUUUACCUCUAAGGAAUGAUAAUGCAUUUGUGUUUGAGUUAUGUUCGGGUUUGAGGAGAUGUAAAUUUUGGUUUUCUUAUAUGGACUAAACCAUGUUGUAUGGGCAUAUGGGCAUCCUUGUUUGGUAGAAGAGUUUAGUCUUUUUGUCAAGGGUUUUGUAUUUGUGGGGAGAAUUCCUCAUCCUUUUCUUAUACUUUGUAUUAACAAUUAAUACAUCUUUGGUUUCUGAUAAAAAGAAAGGUUAUUAAAGAUAUAGACGAUGCUCAUCAAGUGUUUGAUGAAUGCCUUAAGAGUGACUAUUCAUGUGACUUUGCAACCUAGGACCAAGUAGGCCUAGGGACAUGAUGUUAGUCAUCUGGUGCACUGAACCAUAGGACCCAACAUGUGAAUGACAAACAAAUUAUGUGGCUAGCAUGAUAGUCAAUUAGUAACCACUUGUUCAUAGUAACAGUUAAAAGAAACCAUAUAAAUAUAAAAAUAAAAAGUCUCCAAUUAAAUAAAUGUUAAUGCUAGUAAAGAAAUCAAAGAUCAAUAUUCAACUUGAGCUUGAGGAAAUAAAAUACCAAUUACUAAGAUCAACCAAAGUCCAUAAGAAAUAAUCAACAAUUCAGAAUAAGCUAGUAAACCAUAAGUCUUAAAAUGUCUAGAAAAUUCUAUAGCAAAUAUUCUCGGUUCUCAUCCAUCACUUUUUCCUAAUAUUAUCUGUAAGUGAAAGGUGGAAUAAUGGAAGGGGUGGGCAUGAAAGCUUACUAAAGAAAAUAGUAGGACAAUUGGACCAUGUAUCUACACAAAAAUUAGAUGAGAUCUAUCUUGUAAUUUAUAAAUAACCUAUAAAAUGUGUUAUUAGUUAAUGUCCGAAGUUCAUUUAGAAAAAUAACAUUUCAGACAACAAACAACUUAAUCCAUGAAAACUGUUUCUAGAUCUAAUCAUAUAUCACCUCGGCAAACAAAUAUAUGGCUCAAUUCCAGUGGGAGUCACCGAAGAGUGGCUAGCCUCAUAUCCUUUGACUGGUGGAUGGAAUGAACUCAAAUCCAAGGUACAGUUAAGGUCCAAUAUUGGUUGGAGUUUAUUGAUCAUUGCCACCCUCACCAAGGGAGUUGUCAAAUUAUUGGAAGUUUGUUGUUGUGUUUUUCUGUAAUUUGUUUCCAAUGAAUUUGAACUGAUUACUAAUUAGUUUCAGAUAUCUAGGUGUUCUGAUAGUUAGGUCCCAGAGUUGUGCUUGUUAGUUCCUAGAUUCUUGGUAGUUAGUUACAUGAUUAGGUUGCGGACUUAGCCUGUUUAUUUCCCUGUUAUUUUUUAAAAUUAAUUAAUCAAAAAGCAUUUUCCCCUUCUAUUUUGUGUACAUGGUAUUAGAGUGUAGGUCGCUCUUUGGGAGUAUUCCAGAGGGUGUAACUGAAUAAUAGUUUUGUUUUUAAACUUUUGAUGUAUAACGGCAUAUUCAAGACACGUUACUCUGUUUUGGAGGUUGAUGCUAAGAAAUGAGGGAGCCUUUGGAGCAUAGAUUAAUUCCUUGAGUAGGUUCCCUAGAGUGCAAAUGAUAUGUUAUUUUUAUUUAAUUAUUAUUAUCAUUAUUAUUUAUUAUUUUUGAGUUUUGAGUGGUAUGAUAUGUAUUCAGGUCACUUCUAAUAGAAAUUCAUUGAGCACGAGCCCCUUUUUCUGUUUUCAUUUUCAUCUAGUUAAGCAAUAACCUACCCAUUUGGCUUUUUUGAUACAGACAUUUUUCAUCUUCAUGGUCAGAAUUCAUGGAUUUUGUAUCUGUAGGAUCAUAUCAGUCUUUUUCUUUCUUUCCUUUUUUUUUUUAGUUUUUUUUUUUAUGUUUUCUUUCACAUGCUGGUGCUGUUAAGACUCACCUAAAUUAUCACGUAUUGCACCAUCAAUUUAUGUCUGUAACUACUUUUUAAGAAUUUCCCCAUCAUAUAUCAAAAAGUUGUCAAAACUGAAUGUUGUGAAUGCUGCAAUAUUGCUUUGUUUUCAUGGUUGGCAUUUUAAUUAACUCGACUGCAGACAUUUCACUAAAAUGAUGUGCAUUUAUAUUUGAUGAGCAGGAAGUGAAUGCAACUAUUCAACAUUGACUUUCAAUGGUGUUGACUUGAUGGGUGAGAGGCUAGCUGAUGAGGUAUUUUGGAAAUUUUAUUUUAAUCCUCAUGGUUCUAGCAUGCGUUGGUUUUUGAGCUUACCACCUUGAAUAUACAUCGAAACUUUCUGUUUUAAAAAUCACUAAGUUGAGGGUUUUUAUAAGAAAUCUCAUAUGAACCUUAGCUAUAUUCUGAUGCAGGUAUUGGCUGUUGUCAAACGUUGGCCUGAGGUGCGAAAGAUCUCCUUUGUGGCACACUCUUUGGGUGGGCUUGUUGCAAGGUAUGCUGUUGCGAGGCUGUAUGAACCGUUUCCAAAAAUGGAAUCCUCAGGUCUUUCUGUGAAUCAUUCAGUUCAAAGCCUUGAGCAACCUUAUGAGGAUAGAAUUGCUGGACUGGAACCCAUGAACUUUAUAACAUUUGCGACACCACAUCUUGGUUCAAGGGGACACAAACAGGUAGAUUAAGUAUGCUCUUGCUGAUUUGAGGAUUAUUUGAUCAAUCUUCUGUUUGUCAUAAUUUCUAAGGCAUCCAUUCUUCCUUCUUUAUUCUGUUAGACUUUUCAGAUUUGGAUAAGGUUUUGUCUUGCUUGCUUGAUCAUAUCAUGAUGAAAAUUUCACCUUCUGGAUUCUAGAGAAAACAUUUAAAAUAUUGAAGUAAAAGAUCUAUAAGUAGUGUUUAUGGAAAAAGAGUUUGAAUGGGUUUAUGCUAUUCUAUUCCUCACAAUUGACUUGUUUAAUCUUUUCCAAUUGCAUUCCUUAGAAGCCUUCGAUGUGUGUACUCAAGAAAGUGCUACAUGCUUGGCAUGAGUAUUGAAAUGAUGAUACCCGGAGUAGAUUGAGAUUAUAAUAAAUGGGCUACAAGAUUGAGAAGUUAAACUUCUAUUUUAUCCUUCCAGCACGCUUAGAAAUUCUUGUUAUGUUGCAUGUAUUUUAUUUGCUUAUUAGUUUGUUACAAAAUUUCUGUUGCCUCUGUUCCCACAGCUUCCAUUCCUUUGUGGUCUUCCUUUUCUGGAGAAAAGAGCAUCACAGACUGCACACUGGAUAGCUGGGAGGUCUGGAAAGCAUCUCUUCCUCACUGACAGUGAUGACGGGAGACCUCCCCUUCUCCUCCAAAUGGUUAAUGAUUCUGAUGACCUAAAAUUCAUGUUAGUUUUGAUUGAUACACAAUAAAGUAAUUAAUAGCACCAAGAUUGAAUUUUUAUCACAACAUAAUUGUAAUGUUAUCAUUUAUGACCUGUAUAGAUCAGCUUUGCGUUCUUUCAAGCGCCGUGUUGCGUAUGCAAAUGCAAACUAUGAUCGUAUCCUUUUCUGGUUAAAAAUAAGUUUUAAACUCUCAAUUUCUUAAGUAUUGAACUGUAUUACCCUUCUAUAUAAUUUAUUGUUUAUCUUCACUGAUAUUAAGAUGUUGUGGGUUGGAGUACAUCAUCGAUCCGGCGCCAAGAUGAACUUCCAAAGGUGAAUUCUUCCCCUCCUUUAGAUUGACUUAUAUACAUCUCAUGACUCUUGAAUGAAUGUUUCUUGUACCAUGCUGAACCCUCUGUAAUGUUUUUUUUUUUUUUUUUUUUUUUUAACCCUUAUCAUUUCUAGAUUAAUCAUCUUGUGAAGGAUGAAAAGUACCCACAUAUUGUAUAUAUCGAGAGAGAAACUACUGAUGACUUCCAUAAUAAGGCCUCUUCCAUUGCUGGAGACCAAACAACUGAUAUUGAAGGUUUGUCAAACUUCCUAACUUUAAUUAGGAAGUAUAUUCUGUCAAUUUAAAGUGCUAGGCCAUUUGCUUUACUGUUGGAUCCUUGCAUGGAUUGAAAUAUUUACAUAAUUGAAGAAUGAGCUGGCCAAUAAAGGAUUGGUGUCUCUUGGAAAUGGACGUGGUGCAAUAUAUUGUUCUUAUCAAGAAGUAAAAUAUAUAUUUAUUAAAGAUGGAAGCACAACAAAUUACAAGAAAGAAAAGUUAAAAAAAAAGAAACUGUAGAAAGAAGCAAUGCCACAGUUUCUCUCCAUAUAUCUUUGUUUUCACUAAUUUUAUCCUCACUUGUAAUGUUAAUAUGUCUGUGUCAUCUACCUAGCUGACAUCAAUAGAGAUGCCAAGGGAUGAGACAACUAGAAAAAAAUGUGUAUUAGCUAUUACCCUUCAUUUAACUUUCCUUCCCAUGUGUGACCACACUUUCAUGAUUAUUUUUAUAUUUGAGUUUCAUCACUCAUAAUCUGGGGAAAAUGUGAUAAUUGGAAAUACAUUGAAACCAUUGCUAGCCUGAUAAAUAUUGUGGAUAUGUUAUCUUAAUAAUUUAAGCUUUUAGCAAAGUUAGUAUGAUGUAGGACAACCCUAGGAUAGUUGCCUACACUCAAGGGUAGGUGGGCUAGGGUUUUAUUUUUAGGGUGUAAGGAGAGGAACAAGGAAUAAACUUUAUGGUAGAGAAAAUUAUAAGAUAAAAAAUAGAGAGAAAGAAGAAACAAUGAAGAAAAGAUGGAAAACCUUAGAGUCUCACUAAGGCCUUCUAGGAGUCUCACCUAGAAGAAAAAUCAAUGGAGUCUCACCAUUGAGGGUUGCAACCUUGCAAUAAAAGAAAGUAUAAUAUUAUUCAUCAAAUUCAUUCCUUUGAUUUACAUUGAUUAGCCUAUUUAUAGGCUUCUCUAAGAAAUCCAAAGUCUACUAGGACUUUAAUAACCUAUUAUGAUUCUAAUUCUAAUUAUAACAUCCAAAGUCUACUAGGACUCUAAUAACCUAUCAUGACUCAAAUUCUAAUUAUAUUAUAACUCAACUAGCUAAUCCUAAUUAGACUCCAACAAAUACCAAUCCCUAUUCAAUUCUAAUUAAUAUUAAUCCUACUUAAAGUUUGCUUAAGUCUUCCCUUUCUUCCUUGAAUAAACUUUAAAAGGCUUUCCCCCAUCAUAGUAACUUAAAAUAGUAUCAAAGCUAUGGCUAACUAGAAGUCUUGAGUUUGAGCCUCUCCUACUGUUUAUAAUCUAUUUGUUGUUGAUUUGUAUCUCCAUGUGUGGAUAUGGGGCCACAAUAAAGGACGGUGUUACCUUGAUAGCUUUUAGGAAAGUUGGUGGCUUAACAAUGGGAGGGGUAUUAGCUUGAAAGCUUUUAGAAAAGUUAGUGGCUGAACAACCAUAAAAUAAGAAAAGUAAGUACACAUAAUAUGAUCCAAAAGGCUACUCCUUCUCAUCAUAUUGACAAUCAACCGAUUAUUGCCAUGACACGACACAUUGAAGAAAGUAGCAAGGAGGAAUUUAUUGAAUAAGAGCACAAGAAGACGUGGAUGUCAUGCUAAGAAUGAAUCAUUUUGUGGGUUGGGUGAGGGGUGAGGGGAUGGGGGACUCUAUGCUUGUGAAAUAAUGAAAAAAAAAAAAAGAACAAAAACAAAUGAGCACAAUAGGGAGGUAACUUGAUAAAGAAGAUAAUGCAAUUGCACAAAAGCUUAGGAGCAAGUCUCUAAUAAUAAUAAAGGUCAACCAUUAAAUGCUCUUGUAAUGAAAUUAUUAGGGUAAUAGGCCAAAUAAGCUUGAUAUACUUUUUCUGGACCACUGCCUAAAAUCUUGAGCUUUUAGUUGAACUGUAGCUUUAUCAUAGUAUUAGAGCCUUGUUUUAUUGAAGGUGGUGAGUUUGAACCUCACCUCUUGUUUAUUUUCCCCUUUUAUUGAGGCUAUGUACAAGUCUAAAGAAAGUUGUAGAAGAACUUAUUGAAUCUAAGCACAACCUUUUGUGUGUGUGUGUGUGAGAUAGAGAGAGAGAGAGAGAGUUAUAUAUCACUCCAAGACAAUCAAAGGGAAAUGGAUCUACUAUUGGUUGAGAUGAAUUGUUGGAUGCCUCUUCAAAAAUUUUCAUUACUAAUAGAUCCCUCAUGGGGUGGGGGAGAGAGAGAGUCAGCAUUUUGAUGGUGUUUUCUCUUCAAACUUUUCAAUUAGUGAUUGAUCCCUCAUAAUAGUGGUAUCCAUAUCCCAAUACCCACUGCUGCAAGGGUAAGCAGUAUGUCACCAUGACUCAAAGUAUUCACCAAAGUAGAUCAUUUAUGAUAGCAUUGUGCUUGUCCCCAAUACGCACCACUACUUCCCUGCACAACAUAUCCCCCAACAAGUUGUAUUUAUAGAAAUCCCAUUCACCACAUCGGGUGCAAAAGGAAGUUUCUUUGGAUUCUUGUUUAUGAAGUUUUGUCUUAUUCCAUUUUUUUUUAAUUUAUAAUUUCUACAAGAAUAUAGCACAAGAUUGUUCAUUAUGCGAUUAGAAUUGCAUUCAACAUUUUGUUGUCAUGUAUAACAUUUUUUGUGCAUGAUUAUGUAAGAAUUUUGUAUAUUUCUCACUAAUAAUAUGAUGGUUAUUUAUGCACAUACAAAGUUGUGGAAGAAAAAGGAAACUAAGUUACAAAUCCCCUAAAAUUAGGAAUUGACUAUUACAAAAUUAUGCAUAAGAAAUAGGGGUCCAACUUAGGCGGGUUGGUUCGACCCAACCCAAACCCAACUUGAUGUUUAGGUGGAAUUGGGCAAACAUUUUCAAUAUUCGUGUUGAGCUUAGGUUAAGUUUUCUCAACCUGAACUCAAUUUGGAUUGGGCAUGGGCUAAGGUUCGGACAACCUUAUUUUAACCUGAAUCUGAUUUAAUAUUUUUAUAAUAUUUGUAAUGUUUAUUAUUCUAUGUAAUAAUAUUCAUUUUCUUUUUAGAUUUUAAAGAAAAAAAAUCAAAUUAUAAUUAUAUCAUAUACUUUUUUAUUUUUUUAGAAAGAUCCAUAAGUUUAUUUUACUGUUUUAUUGUUAUCUCGAAGUUUUGUCUUAUUUACUAUUUAAAUUUUGGUAUAAAUAUAUACAAAAAAAGUUUUUUAAGAACCACUAUGCAUGGAUUUUGAAUCAUGCAACCCAAUCAACCAGACCAACCCAAUUCUAACCUGAUAAACUUGAGUUUAACUUGACUAACUAAGUUUAGCUCAACCGACCUAAAUUUAACCCGAGUUUAGAAAAAUGAGGUUGGGUUGGGCUUGGAUUGAAUACCUCGGGUUAGAUGUCUGGUUGGGCUGAUUGUUUCUUAAUUUGAGUUUGCAUUUGUAAAGGCCUCAACAUGCAUUUGUUCUUCUUUACCAGAAAAAAGAAACCUUUUCUUAGAGCUUCCUUUAGAUAUCUAAGUGCUCAAUAUUUUGCCUCAGAAGUGUUUUUCACAUGGAGAAUAAAUUGACUAAUCCCACUAAUCACAAAAGCAAUGUUUAGUUGAGAAUGAGAAUGAUGGAUUAGUUUUCCAACUAACCUUUGAUAUCCUCCCUUACCUCCCAAAACACAUUUGGGUGCAAAUCCUAACCUAUGGUUAGGUUCAAUAGGAGUUUCAGCUAGCUUACAUCCUAUCAUACCGAUUUCCUUGAGAAGGUCAAGUGAGUAUUUUCUUUGUGAAACCAAAAUUCACUUCUUACAUCUAACAAUCUCCAUACCUGAGAAAUAUCUCAACAGUCCAAGAUCUUUAAUAUCAAAUUCCCUAGCUAGAAUCCAUUUAAGUCUUUCCAUUUAUGUCGCGUUGUCACCUGUCAAAAUAAUAUCAAUGUAUCAUAAACCUUUUCUUAGAGAAUCUAGGUGCUCGGUAUUUUGCCUCAAAGUGUUUUUCACAUGGAGAAUUUAUUAAUUGACAAAUCACACUAAUCACAAAAGCAAUGUUUAGUUUAUAAUGAGAAUGAUGGAUUGGUUUUCCAACUAACCUUGGAUAUCCUCCUUUAUUUCCUGGAACACAUUUAGUUGCAAAUCCUAACCUAUGGUUAGGUUCAAUAGGAGUUUCAGCUAGUUUACAUCCGAGCAUACCGAUUUCCUUGAGAAGGUCAAGUGUGUAUUUCCUUUGUGAAACAAAAAAUCAUUUCUUAGGUCUAACUGCAUCCUUAUAAUCAGGGAUUCAAAUUAUCCUGACUGCAUCCCUAUAAAUGAGAGAUUCAAGUAAUACAAAAAAUAUUCUAAAUCUAUAAUUUCUGUUUUACAAGAAAACAUGCAUUUUCCCACAAGUUUUAAUCAUGGAAUGGAAGUUUUUGAAGGUUUUCUUGGUCUUGGAUUUUUCUUUCAAUAAGUAAACCCAAACAUAUAAAAAUAAUCAUCAACAAAGGUUAUGAACCAUUUUGUGCUUGAAUGGUUUGGAUGCUUUGUGUGGCUGCGAAGGAAAAAAAGAACAAUGAUGUUUAGUCAAUUAACAAAUUUCACAUUGAAACAAAGAUGGACCUUUAUUAUUGAAUAACAAAAGAAACAAGUUCUUCAAAUAUGAAAAACUAGGAUGGCUUAACCUAGGAUGCCAUAACAUAUUGUCAUUCUCAACAGAAAGAGAAAAAUUACAACUUGUCGUUUGAGCUGGUCCAUGCAAGUCAAGUUCAUCUUAAAAGUAGUAGAGUCCCUCACGUUCUCUAGCAUUGCUAAUUAUCUUCCAUGAAUGUAGCUCUUGAAAUUCAUAAUAAGGUCUGAUAAAAAAAAAAAAAAAAAAAAAAAAAAAUUCAUAAUAAGAAGGAAAGAAUCUAACAACAAAAUUCAAGUCUUUUGUUAAUUUGCUGAUUGAUAAUAAAUUGCAGGAAAGAUUAGCAAUCUGAAGUGUGGAAUUUAGAACUGGAUUUUUGGAGAUAGGAGUUGAACCUUUCCUUACAAUUGUUGAAAGAGAACCAUCGGCGAUUUUUAUUUCAGAUUACCAGGGCAUGGAUAUUGCAAAGACUUGUCAAGUGAUUAGUAGCACCUGAAUCAAUGAUCCAUGGUCUUUUCUUAUUGGAAAGAACACUUAAGAUUGAUGAGAAAUUACCUUUUUGGUCUAGAGGGCAAGAAGAUAAGGAAUUAGUGGGUUGAGAAUGAUUUAGAAAUUUAUACAGCUACUCCAACCGUUCCUUACUGAAGAGAUGUGUCUCGGUGUUUCCCCCAAAAUUCUCCUUAACUUGUUGUCCAUCCGCUUUGACUUUAUAAGCCUUGGUUGUCCUUGUUGGUAGACUUAUAGUUCUUCCAAUUUUCUAGUUUUCCAUGCAACUUCCAACUAAAAGUCUCACGAAUGUGCUGAGGUCUGUGACAGUAAUCACACCAAGCCCUAUCUUCUUUCUUUGAAUUUCUCUAAUCUCCAGUCUGUUUUGUGUGAGGUCCUUUUGAAACCAAUGCAGAAUUCUCAGCAACUAAGGGGUUUGGAUUUCCUAUUAUCACAAUUUGGCGCCUUUCUUCUCUAUGAACCUUUGCAAAUACUUCUCUGGUAGAUGACAGCGGCUCCUUACCAGGAAUAUGUCCCUGUACUUCAUCAAGAUCCUUAUUCAGACCAGCUAGGAACUCAAAUACUUUGUAUCUUUCCAGAAUCUUUUUGUAUCGGCUCUAUUUGCUGCACAGCCCUAUUCAAAAUCAUAGAACAGGUCUAGCUCUUGCCACAGACCUUUUAGAGUGUUGUAAUAUUUGUUAACACCUUGAUUACCUUGAUUUAGCUUUUUGAUCUUUGCCCAAAUCUUAUAUAUCUGUUCUGAAUUGCCCAGGUUAGAGUAAGUGUCCAUGACAGCAUCCCAAAGCUCCUUAGCCAUAGGGAGAAACAAAUAGGUUUGACCAAUUUCAGGCUCCAUCAAAUUGAUCAACUAUACCAUGAUCAUUGAAUUCUUUGAAAUGCUGGGUUGUCCUCCUUGGCUGCUUUGGUCGAACCAAUCAACCAAUCUUACCCUUUUGACAAAUAAACAACUUCACGGACUGUGAUCAUCAAAGGAAGUUUUGUCUGUUCAGCUUAUAUGUGGUAAUCUGCAGGGGUGGAUCUCAUGUGCUGGCAUCCAAAGCAACAAUGAAUCCUCUCUGCUGACUUUCAACAUCAGGUUUCUUCAAACUGCACUGAUAAUGAAAGCUAGUGAAUGAAGAACAUAGACUUGGCAAUUUAGAAUUCCCCCCCCCAAAAAAAAAAAAAAAAAACACUAAUUUCAGUGGGGAACCAGCUUUAUGCCAUGUGCACUAUUAUGAAAGAAUUCUGGAUAUUUCUCAUUAAUAAUCUGAUAGAAUACAAGGCUAUAUAGAGUUUUUUAGAAGAAAAAAGAAACUAUGUAGCAGAUCCCCUAAAUUAGGAAACUAACUAUUCUGAAAUUAUGCAUUUCUGGAUUGAUCAUUAAAAUAUUUUGCAAAUAUAUAUUUUUAAAUCUCUCAUAUUUUCCACUCUUUUGUGUGUGUGGGUGUGGUUACUUUGAAUGAUUAGCCAUGAGUUUCAUUCAUCUUCAUAUAUGCAGUUUGUUGACAUUGUUUGAUGCCAUAUAGUACAAAUUGCAUGCAACCUUUUUCUGUUCAUGUCAUACUUUGUUUGUGCUUGAGUACUUAAC